rnacentral:rRNA from 1 species
GAUGAACGCUGGCGGCGUGCUUAACACAUGCAAGUCGAACGAAGCAUUUAAGACAGAUUACUUCGGUUUGAGGUCUUUUAUGACUGAGUGGCGGACGGGUGAGUAACGCGUGGGUAACCUGCCUCAUACAGGGGGAUAGCAGCUGGAAACGGCUGGUAAUACCGCAUAAGCGCACAGUACCACAUGGUACAGUGUGAAAAACUCCGGUGGUAUGAGAUGGACCCGCGUCUGAUUAGCUUGUGGGCGGGGUAACGGCCCACCAAGGCGACGAUCAGUAGCCGCCCUGGGGGGGUGCCCGGCCCAUUUGGGACGGGGACACGGCCCAGACCCCUCCGGGGGGCGGCAGUGGGAAAUAUGGCACAAUGGAGGAAACUCUGGUGCGGCGCCGCCGCGGGGGUGAAGAAUUAGUUCCCUAUGUAAACCUCUUUCAGCAGGGAAGAUAGUGGCGGUACUUGACUAAGAAGCCCCGGCUAAAUCCGU